rnacentral:misc_RNA from 1 species
CACAGAACACAAUGGCAGCCAUCCACCACCUCCGUCACCGCGGUCUCUACACCUUCGGCGCCCUCUCCUUCAUGGCCGGCGCCUACGCACGUCUAGCCUACCAACGCACUCUGACUCGACCGGGCGGACUGGCUGUGGACGUUACGAGGAGCGGAGGAGGGUGGUAGGAGACUCUCGCUGAAGGAUGUGGGGAUCAGGAGGGGUCGCAAUCUCCCGGUGACCCCGACACCCCAAUGAAGUCGAACGACCGCCUCGAUCCGACUCCUCAAGCAUUUCCCAACGUUCUGUAUUUGGUCUCGCGCUGCGCUUCCCUUCUCUUGGUUCUGUUGAUUGUCCCUCACAGUUCUUGCAAAUCAUUCGUUCUGUCCCA